UUGGCAAAUGGUGCAUCUUCUUCCUUUGGGGUGGCACAGAGAAGCAGUAAAGAGAGGACAAGCCUUUCUUGGGAACCCCGAAGCAGUACCCACAAGUUGACAGUGUAACUGCUGCAUGUGCUGAACUGAUGCUCAGCACGAUCAAACCUGCUGGGAACAGCAUAUUCCUCGUUACCAGUGGAAGACACGUGCUGAAUUCUUAGAGGAUUACAGAAGAGCUGUAAAAUAACUGGCCUUUAAUUCUAAAGACAAGGUUCUUCAGUUAGUGCUGGUUAUUUGUCCUGCUGGGGAUCUUGAUGCCCCCUUCAAAGCCACUGCUUUCACUUUCUACAGCUCCUCCCUCCUCCUCCCCCCUUUACAGAGAUUUAAGCUUUGGUUAGCCAAGAGUCACCUCUCUAAUGGGACAGCAGAUUGUCCCUCGUAGCGUGAAGUGCUUUAAGAAGUAAUCAUGAACUUUCAUUCUUCACAAUGACACACCACCCCCCUGCAGUAUCAAGGCAGCAGCAGAGCUUGACCCUCCCAUUCAUGGACAUCUCCCCAUUCCUCUAUUUCCCUCAUUCAGGGUUUCCUCAAAGGCUGCCAACCUUUAACUGCUCUGUCUGCUGUGGCCUUGAGCUUUAGCAGGAGCAGAGCUGUUGAGGAACUUCCCAUUACCCUUCUUAUGGUUCUGUCUUCAAACUCACUGUCCCAUCUCCAGCUCCUGAGCUGCCCGUGCCUGGUACACUGCCACUCUGGUCCUUUUUCAGGUGGGAUGGCAGCCGGCUUUGUGACAUGAAGUUUAUACUCCUCUAGAAUGGGCUACAUUAUAGGCACUUGAUAGAUGAUCGCUAAGUAUCCUCCGGUACUGAAUUAACAAUACUCUGUCUGCUAAGUCAGACCCAGCUCCAAAUGUCUGUGAGGGUGGAAGGACAGAGAGCUUGGGGAAAUGGGGCUGUGCUUCUCCAUGC